rfam:Arabis alpina cultivar Pajares Aa.chr8_contig_2313, whole genome shotgun sequence.
AAUCCAUGAUGAGGGCAAUCUCUUAGGUAUUCCCUAAAGUGUUCCCGAGCAUCAUGGUAAAUUUCUAAAGGUCCUUGCUGGAACCCUUGUAUUUUGUUCCUUAAGAGACU